UACGUAGGGGGCUAGCGUUGUCCGGAAUCAUUGGGCGUAAAGCGCGUGUAGGCGGUCCGGUAAGUCCGCUGUGAAAGUCGGGGGCUCAACCCUCGGAUGCCGGUGGAUACUGUCGGGCUUGAGGUACGGAAGAGGCGAGUGGAAAUUCCUGGUGGUAGCGGGUGAAAUGCGCAGAUAUCAAGGAGGAACACCAAUUAGCGAAAGGCAGCUCGCUGGGACGUUACUGACGCUGGAGACGCGAAAGCGUGGGAGCAAACAGG
rnacentral:rRNA from 1 species